CAAAACCUUUGUCAUGGAUGACAAUUGCAAGGACUGCAGAAAUUAUUACUAACUACUGCUAGUGGUGGAAGAGGAAGCAGCCUGGUCAUGAUGAGUCCCCUACAAGCAGCUCUUGUCACUGUCCUCAGGAAGCAAACUUUUCAUCUUAAAACAAGCAGUAAACAAUGUCUUUGGUAGUAUCAAUUUUAUAUAGAUAACAGAAGUCCUGGUGUUUGGAGACUUAUGUAUAUAUACACGCAAAAGGGAUCAGAGCAGGGGUUAAAGCAAACAGGUUGGAGCUGAAUUACUCUCUAAAAAUUAAAGACUUUGUGUGAAUCAUGAUCCUGCUACUAGAAGGAAAAUGUCAGUUCUAAAAU
rnacentral:lncRNA from 1 species